AAGCUGGCUCCUUCGGGGUCCGCAUUGUAAUUUGCAGAGGAUGCUUCGGGAGCGGCCCCCAUCUAAGUGCCCUGGAACGGGCCGUCCUAGAGGGUGAAAAUCCCGUCUGGGAUGGGGUGUCCGCGCCCGUGUGAAGCUCCUUCGACGAGUCGAGUUGUUUGGGAAUGCAGCUCUGAAUGGGUGGUAAAUUUCAUCUAAAGUUAAAUAUUGGCCGGAGACCGAUAGCGCACAAGUAGAGUGAUCGAAAGAUGAAAAGCACUUUGAAAAGAGAGUUAAACAGCACGUGAAAUUGUUGAAAGGGAAGCGCUUGCGACCAGACUCGCCCACGGGGUUCAGCCGGAAUUCGUGCCGGUGUAUUUCCCUGCGGGAGGGCCAGCUUCGGUUUGGGCGGCCGGUCAAAGGCCCUCGGAAUG
rnacentral:rRNA from 1 species